UUGCUUGACCAUGGUUUUGAGACAUACCUGCACAGCUUUGUGUGUUUGCAAUUUUUACUUCUGCCAAGGAGGUUAUGUUUUUAGUAACUUUUGCUUGCCUGUUAUUUUUUUGUAAACAUCAUAGCUGAAAAAAAUUGAAUUAACCCUGAUCAAACUUUGUAGGGGUGUAGAGUGGGGUUAUGUAAAUUUAGCUUACAUCUUCUUCAAGGUUAACUUUAUUAUUGGUCAAAAAUGAACAAAAACCUUUAUAAUUUAGAAGCUAUGAUUCUUAAAAGUGUGGAGUCUGUGGUCAAUAUAUAAAGGUACUGUGUAAAGAUUUAAAAUAUCCCAUUACAUCUGACCUCUGACCUCUCCUUCAAGGUCAAAUGAAGUCAAACUUGUGUCAUUCAGUCUGACAUAAAUGUACCUAAAAUGCUUUUCUCUCAUCAUCUGCUGAAACUAACAGAUGUAGCUCUGUUCCUUUAGCACUUGGUGUUUAUUACAUUCCUAAUGUUAUUUUAAACUUGUUUCCUCACAUGUCGUCUUGACUACGUGGUUGAACAUCCUGCAGAAGAAGGCCUUCCUGAAGUCAUCAGGAUCCUGGAUGACAGUCUCCCGAGCACCAUCUCUUCUGAUGAAGAACAAGACACUGAUACCCAGAGUGUCAGUUAUGGCGAGUAUAUCCUUCUCUCAUCCUCCCCCUCUUCUCACGAAGCUUCUCCUUCAACCUCAGUUCUCACCUCCUCAGCAAAGAGAAGCAGAGAAGACAUCUGCACUGAAGAGGUGCAAGGUAAGUGAUGACACGUUCUGUAACCCUUCUACAUCAUCAGGUUCUUUUGGUGUCAGACGCUUCUGGGAAAGGCCUUUUAACCUUUCACUUGAUGACAGUGACUCUGAAUAAGUAAUGUUAGAACCUGUUUUUAAACGUUAAACGUUUAAGUUGGCCUUUGCGUCUUGCAGUGUUUAUAAGACACUUUCUUGCUUUGAGGACAGCUUCUUGUAAAUAUCCUUUACUUUUUAAAUAACUUUGUAAUGUUUAAGUUAAGCCUUUGUGUCUUGUGAUGUUUGUAACACAGCUAACUAAGAAUAUCUGACUUUUAAAGAAUAUUAACUAACACAUGUGAAAUGUAUUGUUUUUUUCUUAAUAUGUGACAUUGCCUGUGCGACUGUAAGGUAGUGUUUUAGGUGUUGUUACUUCUAUUUUUGUUAAUAUCACAGGUAACUGUUUAAAUGACUUACAUAUUUUUUCUCAAGCGCUAGCUCACCAUGCAGGACAAAGGUAAGUCCGUACUUAAUGUCAACACAAAUGAGUAGAAAAGGUUCAAAAAUGAUGUCGUGAACUGACUGUAGUCUCUUGUUUAUACAUAAGGUAUAGCCUGUGGCUAAGGGAUCAGAGGUGCUUUACACUUGUCCUCUCCCAGCAUUCUAGACGGCGCUAACACAGAGAGAUGCUCCACCCAGAAGACAGCCUUACCCCAACCCGAUGAGAAGGAUGGAUGACCAAAUGACAAACUGGAGAGUGGUGCUGUGUUCCAGCUAUGGCAGCUGAGAGUGGACAGAGCUGCACAGAGGACCAAAGAUCCACUCUCAGCACUUCAUACCUGACUGGCCACAGCACCACCCCUCUUCACCCAGGGUGAGGAGGGUCCUGACCCCGCCUGCA